rnacentral:rRNA from 1 species
AACGAACGCUGGCGGCAGGCCUAACACAUGCAAGUCGAGCGCCCCGCAGGGGGGGCGGCGGCCGGGUGGGUAACGGGUGGGAAUAGACCCUUUGCUACGGAAUAGUCCCGGGAAACUGGGGGUAAUACCGUAUACGCCCUCUGGGGGAAAGAUUUAUCGUCGAAGGAUUGGCCCGCGUGGGAUUAGGGAGUUGGUGGGGUAAUGGCCUCCCAAGCCGACGAUGCUUAGCUGGUUUGAGAGAAUGAUCAGCCACACUGGGACUGAGACACGGCCCAGACUCCUACGGGAGGCAGCAGUGGGGAACCUUAGACAAUGGGGGCAACCCUGAUCGAGCCAUGACGCGUGAGUGAUGAAGGCCUUAGGGUUGUAAAGCUCAUGCAGCUGUGAAGAUAAUGACGGUACCAGCAGAAGAAGCCCCGGCUAACUCCGUG